rnacentral:rRNA from 1 species
UGGGGAAUAUUGGACAAUGGGCGAAAGCCUGAUCCAGCCAUGCCGCGUGUGUGAAGAAGGUCUUCGGAUUGUAAAGCACUUUAAGUUGGGAGGAAGGGCAGUAAGCUAAUACCUUGCUGUUUUGACGUUACCGACAGAAUAAGCACCGGCUAACUCUGUGCCAGCAGCCGCGGUAAUACAGAGGGUGCAAGCGUUAAUCGGAAUUACUGGGCGUAAAGCGCGCGUAGGUGGUUCGUUAAGUUGAAUGUGAAAGCCCCGGGCUCAACCUGGGAACUGCAUCCAAAACUGGCGAGCUAGAGUAGGGCAGAGGGUGGUGGAAUUUCAUGUGUAGCGGUGAAAUGCGUAGAUAUAGGAAGGAAGACCAGUGGCGAAGGCGACCACCUGGGCUGAUACUGACGCUGAGGUGCGAAAGCGGGGGGAGCAAACAGG